UACGUAGGUGGCGAGCGUUGUCCGGAUUUAUUGGGCGUAAAGGGUGCGUAGGUGGUUGGGUAAGUCUGAUGUGAAAUCUCCGGGCUCAACCCGGAAAUGGCAUUGGAUACUAUCCAGUUGGAGGGUCGGAGGGGGGACUGGAAUUCUUGGUGUAGCAGUGAAAUGCGUAGAUAUCAGGAGGAACACCGAUGGCGAAGGCAGGUCUCUGGGCUGACACUGACGCUCAUGCACGAAAGCGUGGGGAGCAAACAGG
rnacentral:rRNA from 1 species